rnacentral:rRNA from 1 species
GAUGAACGCUGGCGGCGUGCUUAACACAUGCAAGUCGAACGAAGCACUUUAUUUGAUUUCCUUCGGGACUGAUUAUUUUGUGACUGAGUGGCGGACGGGUGAGUAACGCGUGGGUAACCUGCCUUGUACAGGGGGAUAACAGUUGGAAACGGCUGCUAAUACCGCAUAAGCGCACGGCAUCGCAUGAUGCAGUGUGAAAAACUCCGGUGGUAUAAGAUGGACCCGCGUUGGAUUGGCUAGUUGGUGAGGUAACGGCCCACCAAGGCGACGAUCCAUAGCCGACCUGAGAGGGUGACCAGCCACAAUGGGACUGAGACACGGCCCAAACUCCUACGGGAGGCAGCAGUGGGGAAUAUUGCACAAUGGGCGAAAGCCUGAUGCAGCGACGCCGCGUGAGCGAAGAAGUAUUUCGGUAUGUAAAGCUCUAUCAGCAGGGAAGAUAAUGACGGUACCUGACGAAGAAGCACCGGCUAAAUACGUG